AUUGAACGCUGGCGGCAGGCCUAACACAUGCAAGUCGAGCGGGGUUUUCGGACCUAGCGGCGGACGGGUGAGUAAUGCGUAGGAAGCUGCCCGAUAGAGGGGGAUACCAGUUGGAAACGACUGUUAAUACCGCAUAAUGUCUACGGACCAAAGUGUGGGACCUUCGGGCCACAUGCUAUCGGAUGCGCCUACGUGGGAUUAGCUAGUUGGUGAGGUAAUGGCUCACCAAGGCGACGAUCUCUAGCUGGUUUGAGAGGAUGAUCAGCCACACUGGAACUGAGACACGGUCCAGACUCCUACGGGAGGCAGCAGUGGGGAAUUUUGGACAAUGGGCGCAAGCCUGAUCCAGCCAUGCCGCGUGUGUGAAGAAGGCCUUCGGGUUGUAAAGCACUUUCAGCGAGGAGGAAGGGGUUGUAGUUAAUAGCUGCAACCUUUGACGUUACUCGCAGAAGAAGCACCGGCUAACUCUGUGCCAGCCGCCGCGGUAAAAC
rnacentral:rRNA from 1 species